CCUACGGGGGGCAGCAGUGGGGAAUAUUGGACAAUGGGGGGAACCCUGAUCCAGCCAUGCCGCGUGUGUGAAGAAGGCCCUCGGGUUGUAAAGCACUUUCAGUGAGGAAGAACGCCUGGUGGUUAAUACCCAUCAGGAAAGACAUCACUCACAGAAGAAGCACCGGCUAACUCCGUGCCAGCAGCCGCGGUAAUACGGAGGGUGCGAGCGUUAAUCGGAAUUACUGGGCGUAAAGCGCGCGUAGGUGGCUUGAUAAGCCGGUUGUGAAAGCCCCGGGCUCAACCUGGGAACGGCAUCCGGAACUGUCCAGCUAGAGUGCAGGAGAGGAAGGUAGAAUUCCCGGUGUAGCGGUGAAAUGCGUAGAGAUCGGGAGGAAUACCAGUGGCGAAGGCGGCCUUCUGGACUGACACUGACACUGAGGUGCGAAAGCGUGGGUAGCAAACAGGAUUAGAUACCCGGGUAGUC
rnacentral:rRNA from 1 species